GUGCUCACUUUGGCAGCACAUACACUAAAAGUGGAAUGAUAUAGAGCAGAUUAGCAUGGUCCCUAUGCAAGGAUGACAUGCAAAUUUGUGCAGUGGUCCAUAUUUUU